AUUGAACGCUGGCGGCAGGCCUAACACAUGCAAGUCGAACGAGUGGCGGACGGGUGAGUAAUUUCUGUGAACCUGCCCGCAGGAGGGGGAUAACUACUGGAAACGGUAGCUAAUCACGCAUACAAUUGACUGUGCGCAGCUGGGAUUGGCUGGUAGGGGGGGUAACGGCUCACAUAGGGGACGAUCCCUCGCUGGUCUGAGAGGAUGACCAGCCACACUGGAACUAGGACACGGUCCAGACCCCUACGGGAGGCAGCAGUGGGGAAUAUUGCACAAUGGGCGCAAGCCUGAUGCAGCCAUGCCGCGUGUAUGAAGAAGGCCUUCGGGUUGUAAAGUACGUUCAGCGAGGAGGCGUUACUCGCAGAAGAAGCACCGGCUAACUCCGUGCCAGCAGCCGCGGUAAUUC
rnacentral:rRNA from 1 species